rnacentral:rRNA from 1 species
GAUUUCUGAUCCAAUAUGUCUAGCCCGCCAGGGUUACCUGUGUGUGUGCUGGAAUGUUAUUGAUCAUCCGUUCUAGAUCACUCUUCUACUCUGUAAAAGGAGUUGGAAUGUUAGUGUAUAUCUAGAUCUUUUACUUUGAACAAAUUAGAGUGUUUCAAGCAGGCGUUGUUUGCGUUGAAUACAUUAGCAUGGAAUAAUCGAAUAGGACUUUGGUUCUACUUUUCGUUGGUUUCAAGAACUAAAGUAAUGAUUGAUAGGGAUAGUUGGGGGUGCUAGUAUUCAGUGGCCAGAGGUGAAAUUCUUGGAUUCACUGAAGACUAACUAAUGCGAAAGCAUU